rnacentral:rRNA from 1 species
GAUGAACGCUGGCGGCGUGCCUAAUGCAUGCAAGCCGAACGGCCUGAUUUAUCAGGCAGUGGCAGACGGGUGAGUAACGCGUAAGAACUUACCCUGAAGUGGGGGACAACCUCGAGAAAUCGGGGCUAAUACCGCAUACGCUCCGCAAGGAGGAAAGCUUCGGCGCUUUAGGAUGGGCUUGCGCCCUAUCAGGUAGUUGGUGAGGUAAUGGCCCACCAAGCCUUAGACGGGUAGUUGGUCUGAGAGGAUGAUCAACCACACUGGAAUUGAGAUACGGUCCAGACUCCUACGGGAGGCAGCAGCAGGGAAUAUUGCGCAAUGGGUGAAAGCCUGACGCAGCAACGCCGCGUGGGGGAUGACGGCUUUCGAGUUGUAAACCCCUUUUCUUGGGGAAGAUAAUGACGGUACCCAAGGAAUAAGUCUCGGCUAACUACGUGCCAGCAGCCGCGGUAAGACGUAGGAGGCGAGCGUUAUCCGGAUUUACUGGGCGUAAAGGGCGUGUAGGCGGUUCUUUAAGUCUAUGGUGAAAUCUCCCGGCUUAACUGGGAGGGUGCCACAGAAACUGAAGAACUUGAGGACAGCAUAGGGGAGCGGAAUUCCCGGUGUAGUGGUGAUAUGCGUAGAUAUCGGGAGGAACACCAGUGGCGAAAGCGGCUCUCUGGGCUGCACCUGACGCUGAGGCGCGAAAGCGUGGGGAGCAAACAGGAUUAGAUACCCUGGUAGUCCACGCCGCAAACGAUGGAUACUAGGUAUGGGGGGUAUCGACCCCCUCCGUGCCGAAGCUAACGCUUUAAGUAUCCCGCCUGGGGACUACGGCCGCAAGGCUA